rnacentral:rRNA from 1 species
UAAGACGAACCGUGCGAACGUUGUUCGGAAUCACUGGGCUUAAAGGGCGCGUAGGCGGCUUACCAAGUCAGGGGUGAAAUUUUGCGGCUUAACCGUAACAGUGCCUUUGAUACUGGUAGGCUCGAGGGAGAUAGGGGUCUGCGGAACUUCCGGUGGAGCGGUGAAAUGCGUUGAUAUCGGAAGGAACGCCGGUGGCGAAAGCGGCAGACUGGAUCUCUUCUGACGCUGAGGCGCGAAAGCUAGGGGAGCAAACGGGAUUAGAUACCCCGGUAGUCCUAGCCCUAAACGAUGGGUACUAGAUUGUAAGCGUGACAUGCGCCUACAGUCGAAGCAAAAGUGUUAAGUACCCCGCCUGGGGAGUAUGGUCGCAAGGCUGAAACUCAAAGGAAUUGACGGGGGCUCACACAAGCGGUGGAGCAUGUGGCUUAAUUCGAGGCUACGCGAAGAACCUUAUCCUAGGCUUGACAUGUGCGAAAGCGUCAGGAAGUAGGCGCCGGAAACGGCCGCCCAACGGUAUCCAGUCCGGAACCUGAUACAGGUGCUGCAUGGCUGUCGUCAGCUCGUAUCGUGAGAUGUCGGGUUAAGUCCCAUAACGAGCGAAACCCUUGCCUCUAGUUGCCAGCGGGUCAUGCCGGGGACUCUAGAGGGACUGCCGGUGUUAAACCGGAGGAAGGUGGGGAUGACGUCAAGUCCUCAUGGCCUUUAUGCCUAGGGCUGCACACGUGCUACAAUGCCGCGAACAAAGGGACGCAAACCCGCGAGGGGGAGCAAAUCCCAAAAAACGCGGCCCAGUUCAGAUCGAAGGCUGCAACUCGCCUUCGUGAAGCCGGAAUCGCUAGUAAUCGUGAAUCAGAAUGUCACGGUGAGUACGUUCCCGG